UACGAAGGGGGCUAGCGUUGUUCGGAAUUAUUGGGCGUAAAGAGCUCGUAGGCGGUUUGUUGCGUCGGCUGUGAAAUCCCGAGGCUCAACCUCGGGUCUGCAGUCGAUACGAGCAAACUAGAGUGUUGCAGGGGAGACUGGAAUUCCUGGUGUAGCGGUGAAAUGCGCAGAUAUCAGGAGGAACACCGGUGGCGAAGGCGGGUCUCUGGGCAACAACUGACGCUGGAGGAGCGAAAGCCGUGGGGAGCGAACAGG
rnacentral:rRNA from 1 species